rnacentral:rRNA from 1 species
GAUGAACGCUGGCGGCGUGCUUGAUACAUGCAAGUCGAACGGAGAGUGUAGCAAUAUACUUUUAGUGGCGAACGGGUGAGUAACGCGUUGGUGACCUGCCCCGAAGCGAGGGAUAACAGUUCGAAAGAACUGCUAAUACCUCAUGUGAUCACCGGUUUUAGAAUCUGGUGAUUAAAGGUGAAAAUCACUUCGGGAGGGGCCUGCGUCCCAUCAGCUAGUUGGUAAGGUAAUGGCUUACCAAGGCGAUGACGGGUAGGGACCUGAGAGGGUGGCCCCCCACAAUGGAACUGAAACACGGUCCAUACACCUACGGGUGGCAGCAGUAGGGAAUAUUGCAAAUGGGCGAAAGCCUGAUGUAGCAACGCCGCGUGUGCGAUGAAGGUCUUCGGAUUGUAAAAGCACUUUUUGGAGGGAUGAGGAAGGACAGUACCUCCAGAAUAAGCCUCGGCUAACUACGUG